GGGUUGUGAGGUUAAGCGACUAAGCGUACACGGUGGAUGCCCUGGCAGUCAGAGGCGAUGAAGGACGUGCUAAUCUGCGAUAAGCGUCGGUAAGGUGAUAUGAACCGUUAUAACCGGCGAUUUCCGAAUGGGGAAACCCAGUGUGUUUCGACACACUAUCAUUAACUGAAUCCAUAGGUUAAUGAGGCGAACCGGGGGAACUGAAACAUCUAAGUACCCCGAGGAAAAGAAAUCAACCGAGAUUCCCCCAGUAGCGGCGAGCGAACGGGGAGGAGCCCAGAGCCUGAAUCAGUGUGUGUGUUAGUGGAAGCGUCUGGAAAGGCGCGCGAUACAGGGUGACAGCCCCGUACACAAAAAUGCACAUGCUGUGAGCUCGAUGAGUAGGGCGGGACACGUGGUAUCCUGUCUGAAUAUGGGGGGACCAUCCUCCAAGGCUAAAUACUCCUGACUGACCGAUAGUGAACCAGUACCGUGAGGGAAAGGCGAAAAGAACCCCGGCGAGGGGAGUGAAAAAGAACCUGAAACCGUGUACGUACAAGCAGUGGGAGCACAGAGCAAUCUGUGUGACUGCGUACCUUUUGUAUAAUGGGUCAGCGACUUAUAUUCUGUAGCAAGGUUAACCGAAUAGGGGAGCCGAAGGGAAACCGAGUCUUAACUGGGCGUUAAGUUGCAGGGUAUAGACCCGAAACCCGGUGAUCUAGCCAUGGGCAGGUUGAAGGUUGGGUAACACUAACUGGAGGACCGAACCGACUAAUGUUGAAAAAUUAGCGGAUGACUUGUGGCUGGGGGUGAAAGGCCAAUCAAACCGGGAGAUAGCUGGUUCUCCCCGAAAGCUAUUUAGGUAGCGCCUCGUGAAUUCAUCUCCGGGGGUAGAGCACUGUUUCGGCAAGGGGGUCAUCCCGACUUACCAACCCGAUGCAAACUGCGAAUACCGGAGAAUGUUAUCACGGGAGACACACGGCGGGUGCUAACGUCCGUCGUGAAGAGGGAAACAACCCAGACCGCCAGCUAAGGUCCCAAAGUCAUGGUUAAGUGGGAAACGAUGUGGGAAGGCCCAGACAGCCAGGAUGUUGGCUUAGAAGCAGCCAUCAUUUAAAGAAAGCGUAAUAGCUCACUGGUCGAGUCGGCCUGCGCGGAAGAUGUAACGGGGCUAAACCAUGCACCGAAGCUGCGGCAGCGACACUGUGUGUUGUUGGGUAGGGGAGCGUUCUGUAAGCCUGUGAAGGUGUGCAGUGAGGCAUGCUGGAGGUAUCAGAAGUGCGAAUGCUGACAUAAGUAACGAUAAAGCGGGUGAAAAGCCCGCUCGCCGGAAGACCAAGGGUUCCUGUCCAACGUUAAUCGGGGCAGGGUGAGUCGACCCCUAAGGCGAGGCCGAAAGGCGUAGUCGAUGGGAAACAGGUUAAUAUUCCUGUACUUGGUGUUACUGCGAAGGGGGGACGGAGAAGGCUAUGUUGGCCGGGCGACGGUUGUCCCGGUUUAAGCGUGUAGGCUGGUUUUCCAGGCAAAUCCGGAAAAUCAAGGCUGAGGCGUGAUGACGAGGCACUACGGUGCUGAAGCAACAAAUGCCCUGCUUCCAGGAAAAGCCUCUAAGCAUCAGGUAACAUCAAAUCGUACCCCAAACCGACACAGGUGGUCAGGUAGAGAAUACCAAGGCGCUUGAGAGAACUCGGGUGAAGGAACUAGGCAAAAUGGUGCCGUAACUUCGGGAGAAGGCACGCUGAUAUGUAGGUGAAGUCCCUCGCGGAUGGAGCUGAAAUCAGUCGAAGAUACCAGCUGGCUGCAACUGUUUAUUAAAAACACAGCACUGUGCAAACACGAAAGUGGACGUAUACGGUGUGACGCCUGCCCGGUGCCGGAAGGUUAAUUGAUGGGGUCAGCGCAAGCGAAGCUCUUGAUCGAAGCCCCGGUAAACGGCGGCCGUAACUAUAACGGUCCUAAGGUAGCGAAAUUCCUUGUCGGGUAAGUUCCGACCUGCACGAAUGGCGUAAUGAUGGCCAGGCUGUCUCCACCCGAGACUCAGUGAAAUUGAACUCGCUGUGAAGAUGCAGUGUACCCGCGGCAAGACGGAAAGACCCCGUGAACCUUUACUAUAGCUUGACACUGAACAUUGAGCCUUGAUGUGUAGGAUAGGUGGGAGGCUUUGAAGUGUGGACGCCAGUCUGCAUGGAGCCGACCUUGAAAUACCACCCUUUAAUGUUUGAUGUUCUAACGUGGACCCGUGAUCCGGGUUGCGGACAGUGUCUGGUGGGUAGUUUGACUGGGGCGGUCUCCUCCUAAAGAGUAACGGAGGAGCACGAAGGUUGGCUAAUCCUGGUCGGACAUCAGGAGGUUAGUGCAAUGGCAUAAGCCAGCUUGACUGCGAGCGUGACGGCGCGAGCAGGUGCGAAAGCAGGUCAUAGUGAUCCGGUGGUUCUGAAUGGAAGGGCCAUCGCUCAACGGAUAAAAGGUACUCCGGGGAUAACAGGCUGAUACCGCCCAAGAGUUCAUAUCGACGGCGGUGUUUGGCACCUCGAUGUCGGCUCAUCACAUCCUGGGGCUGAAGUAGGUCCCAAGGGUAUGGCUGUUCGCCAUUUAAAGUGGUACGCGAGCUGGGUUUAGAACGUCGUGAGACAGUUCGGUCCCUAUCUGCCGUGGGCGCUGGAGAACUGAGGGGGGCUGCUCCUAGUACGAGAGGACCGGAGUGGACGCAUCACUGGUGUUCGGGUUGUCAUGCCAAUGGCACUGCCCGGUAGCUAAAUGCGGAAGAGAUAAGUGCUGAAAGCAUCUAAGCACGAAACUUGCCCCGAGAUGAGUUCUCCCUGACCCUUUAAGGGUCCUGAAGGAACGUUGAAGACGACGACGUUGAUAGGCCGGGUGUGUAAGCGCAGCGAUGCGUUGAGCUAACCGGUACUAAUGAACCGUGAGGCUUAACCUUACAACGCCGAAGGUGUUU
rnacentral:rRNA from 1 species